ensembl:lncRNA
UGGUGCACAAACUGCUGCGCCGUCAUUACUAAAACAGCUCACGGGUCUCAGUAAAAACGUUCCUGUUCUCUUCUGUCAACACAACCAAAUGACACAUAAAAUUCCCCCAAGAAAUACAGAGAAAAGACCAGAUGCAUUGCAGCAUCAAUAAUCAGUUGGGUGGUCGGUACUAGCCUGCCUAUCUGAACACAUACUAACUGAUCUAUAGCUAAUAUGGGUUACCAAAAACCAGACAUUCAGUAUGUGCUUUUAAAACGUAGCUGCUGCAUAGAAGCAACUGUAAGAACUUGGCAAAGAGUAUUUUAGUGAGUGUGAAUUAUUUGCAUGGCGGUAAUGUUUGAUCAGUUCCAGAGAACUUAACUGCCUCACCUUAUAAGGUGAGUCCAGGAAAAACAAACCUCAUGCUUUAAUUGAUUGCAAGCAGAUAGAGAAAAGCGGUUGUCGUACUAUCACUCACAUUUCCACAGAUAAAGUUGAAUCAUCAGAUUGUUAUAUGCUGGACGGAUAAUCAAGUGAAAUUUCUGACCCACACUUGAGAACAAACCUAUAUCAGCACCAAUAUAAACCUUGAAAGAGGAAAACAGACAUUCAACCAGUUUCAUUUUUCCUGUCAGAACACUGUUUCUACAUCCAGAGUUCCUCUGCGCUCAAGCUGUCCAUCUUGUGUCCAUCCACACCCCAGCCAACCAGACAUGGGACUAACGAGUGAAGACAUGGAGUGCUGCGUCUGCCUCCAGUCCUACUCACGCAGGGACAAGACCCCUCGAAUGCUUCACUGCAAGCACACCUUCUGUGGGCAGUGUCUCCAGGCGUUAUCCAGGCUCCAGAGUGGCCUGCUGAUGGUGUGCUGCCCACUGUGUCGCUGGAUCACAUGUACCAGGGCCAGUCUCCCCAUCGCUGGAUCCCUGUGGGUAAACACAGACAUCUGGGACAGGAUAACAGAAAGACAAGAGGAGGAGGAGCAGAAGGAGAAGGAGGAGAACUUGUGGAUGACAGAAAACAAACAGACACAGACCUCUACCCAGUGUGUAUGUCCGUCAUCGAGGAAUCGUAGCCUGUGGUCCAAGCUCAGGACUUUCCUGAGGAAACUGAGGUUCCAGAAUUCAAGAACACGUCAUUAAUCUGUUGUGGACUUUUCUUAGGACCUUUUUCAAGAACAAAUGUAAGACAAAAACGUAGGAAGAUGUUGGCGAAUGAGGCCCAAUGAGCUCAAACACAAAAGCAUGGCUAUGGUAUUUUUUAAGGAAGGCUGAACUCGACAUAUUAACCAUUAAUAUUCAAAAUCAUGCCUUUUUGUUGUGUUGUCAUUAAGGGGUUGAGGAAAGUUUCAAACAAAAUAUAAUCUACUCACGUACUGUAUCUUUCCAUCUAUCUUGAAGAAUAUCUAAAACAUUUCCUCUCUUUUCUGAACUAAUGAUUGCACUUAUCUGUUGGAUAGAUGAAUAGAUGACUGAUUGUCGGGAAGGUGUGUCAUUAAGAGUGUUUGAUGGGUGGUGAAGAAAGGACGAAAUGCAAUGAAAGUAAGCGAUAAGAAGGCUACAAUGUGUGUUCAAAUCUAAACAUGGGAGGUUUAAAUAAUGAGAUACGUACUCUUUAAAUCAACCACACACAUCGAAACGCAAGUCUUAGUUGUUGAUGGGAUUGUGUAAGUAAAAAAAAAGGAUUAGCAAAGUUUUAAAGUACCUCUAUCAUCUAUCUACUGUAACCAUCCAUCUAAAAUAAGUCCUCCAUUUUGUGAAAUAAUACUUGCACUUAUAUUUUAGACAGAUGAACAGAUAAAUAGAUGACGGACAGGCAGGCAGGCAGGCAGAGAGGCAGGCAGACAGGCAGGCAGGCAGGCAGAGAGGCAGGCAGACAGGCAGGCAGACAGACAGGCAGGCAGACGGGCAGGCAGAGAGGCAGGCAGACAGGCAGGCAGAGAGGCAGGCAGACGGGCAGGCGUUUGACGAGUGGAUGAAUGAUACAGUUAGGGUGAAUUUGGGUAAUCUGGGAAACUUUUUGCAAUUUUGACUUCUGCGAUUUAUUCCGAUAUCUGUCUAACACGUUAGAUCAACACAUUAUACCUCUCUGAAAUCCCUAAGAGGUUUUCUGACCACACCAGAGGAAAUAAUGUAGAUAUUAUAGC